rnacentral:rRNA from 1 species
CAGUCGCCGCUGGAACACGAAGGGGGCUAGCGUUGUUCGGAUUUACUGGGCGUAAAGGGCGCGUAGGCGGAUUUGUAAGUCAGGGGUGAAAUCCCGAGGCUCAACCUCGGAACUGCCUUUGAUACUAUGGAUCUUGAGUCCGGGAGAGGUGAGUGGAACUGCGAGUGUAGAGGUGAAAUUCGUAGAUAUUCGCAAGAACACCAGUGGCGAAGGCGGCUUACUGGCUCGAAACUGACGCUGAGGCGCGAAAGCGUGGGGAGCAAACAGGAUUAGAUACCCCAGUAGUCCCUGUCUCUUAUAC